UACGGAGGAUCCAAGCGUUAUCCGGAAUCAUUGGGUUUAAAGGGUCCGCAGGCGGGUUAAUAAGUCAGUGGUGAAAGUCUGCAGCUCAACUGUAGAAUUGCCAUUGAUACUGUUAACCUUGAGUAAUUAUGAAGUGGUUAGAAUAUGUAGUGUAGCGGUGAAAUGCAUAGAUAUUACAUAGAAUACCGAUUGCGAAGGCAGAUCACUAAUAAUUUACUGACGCUGAUGGACGAAAGCGUAGGUAGCGAACAGG
rnacentral:rRNA from 1 species